rnacentral:lncRNA from 10 species
GGGAUGGCUCACCUCCACCCAUCUUCCACACAGCUCUCAGAGGGAGCUUUCUAAGAUGCACUUCUGUGUGUGUCCCCUCUGUUAAAAUCCUUAAUGAAUACUCAUGCGUUCCCCAUCUGACCCAAGCCUUUCAUGAUCUGACCCACACUCACUGUGACAGCCUCCUCCUAGGUCCCCAUUCACAGGCACCCUGGGUUCUGGCCAGGCCAUACGCCCAGCAGGUUCCUCACCAGGCCAAGUGCCUUCUCCUCUCCAUGCUUCUGCACCUGCAGGGUGCGCUAGGACAGAAAUUCAGCUUCAAGACUGCAAGGACAGAAACUCACACUCAAACAAAAAGAGUCAGUGCUGCUGCUGGAAACCAGAGUCUUCUUUUGUUUUCCCUCUCACCUCUGGCUGCCUCUCUCUCCCCUCAAAGGUCAGAGCAGUGCCAAGGACAGAAGAGAGAGUAGAUCCAGCCUUGGCCCUGCUAGGCUGGGCAGCCUGGCAGGUAGAGUCAGCAGGGAUAGAGCUUGCUUUCCUGUUCACGAUCUUCAGCCAAGUUCAGGGAGGUCUGAAUACUGAGGCCUUCAUAGCCACUGCACCCCAGGUAGCUCAGGAGAACCUCCGAGCGCAGGAGUGCAAAGGCUGGCAUUCUUCAGGCUCUGAGGCUGUCCCUUCCGGUGGAGGUGAACUGCUUCUUAUUGAUGUGGACAAGACUGUGGAUGGAGACUGACAGGAUCCUGGCUUGGGGGCCUUCCGGCAGGGCUGGCUGCUGGGCUGGCAGGCUCUGGCGCUCCCCUUCCCCAGAACUGACUUUGUUCCUGGCAGCCAUGGUGGCUGCACUAACCACAUUCUGCCUCCACCUUUGCACUAAGAAAAGCAAAUAAGCAGACCACAGAACUGUUUGCAUUUGCCCCAGAUGCUCCCUGGCUGCGGGAAGAGGUCAGUAGGGAGCAUGCAGGGAGAGGGGAAGGGAGACCUGGGAGAUUGGGAGCUGGAAAGAUGUCCCCUGAAAUACAGGUUUGGUGACUCUAACCGUGAAUGGCCCCGAUUCACAGGGGAGGGUUGCUGUUCCUUUGCCAUCCUUUGCCUAUUUGCAGCACUUGCUGAAAGAUAGAAAGAAACACCGAGACAGGAGCUUGGGCUGUAUAGGCAGGGGACAAAUGAAAUGUUUUCCUACUGUGUAAAAAGUUCAAGUGUUCCCAUAUAUGCAGAGCUUGGAACAAUGUCAUCAACUCCUCUUCGUUUUUUUCCAAACAACCUCCUUUAAGACACAGCAAACAGCAGUGCUGCGGAGGUAUGUCUAAUUGCAGAUACUUUUUGUUCAUCAUCGUAUUGAACGUCGUUGCGUGUUCCAGCAGCCAUCAACUUCCUCAGGAGGAAAAUUCAAUUGUGCACUGAGCGACAGCGUGAAGAGACCGGGCCAAGCAGGCAGGGUGCUGCAGGUCAACAAGGUGCUGCUGUGCUCCUGAAGCCUUCAGGAGCCUCAGCCUGAGAGCUCAGGAAAGGGUGGGGCUCCAACCCACCUGGCUUUCCGCCUUACUGAGCUCCAAACACAGGCUUGUUCCACAUCACGGAGAGCCCUUAUCCUGCAUGUGCGUCUCGCUCCCUGACAAGCCUAUUUGUGCCUUGUCACCAGAAAUGUACCUUUUUUCUUCUCUCAUCUGUCCCUGACACCCCCAGCUUAUCUAGCCUGAAGAGAGGCUAUCAAAAUGGUAAUAGCCAGAUGGAAAACAAGGAAAAAUAAGCCCUUUCCCAUAAGGAAGCAAUACGGAUUUUGGAACCGGAGAAAUUUCUACUAUUCUCCCAACAUCAUUCCCUCCGCCUUGGGUGUGCUUCCGAGAGGGUUGGAGGUGUCACCUGCCGUACCCUAGGACUGGCUGAGGGAAAACACACCUGAAGAUUUCCUGUAAAUGAAAAAGUGAAUCACUAAAAGGGGGAGCUGUCAUCCCCUGGCAUUUCUCUGUGCACAGGCGACCUAUGCUUAAAAUGGAUCAGUGGUGGUUUCUCUAUGUUGGCCAGGCUAGUCUCAAACUCCUGACCUCAGGCGAUCCACCCACCUUGGCCUCCCAAAGUGCUGGGAUUACAGGCCUGAGCCACCACACCUGGCCUCACCUGUAUUUUAAAUUGAGUUUUACUGGGUAACAGCCAUGGUCAUUCAUUUACAUAUUGUCAAAGGCUGCUUUCAAGCUACAACAGCAGAAUUUAACAGUCUCAAGACCAUAUGGCCUGCAAAGCCUAAAAUAUUUACUGGCCCUUUACAGAUAAAGUUUGCUGACCCCUAGAGAGGAAGUCAUGGCCCAUGGCUGGCAGAUGGAAGCCUCAGGACCUGAAGAUUUCUCAAAGAAAGGGACCUGCUGCUGACAGCAAUUAAUAUAUGUUCACAGCUUGCAGCUGAAGCCUGAUGAUGGCUGUAGGAGAAAGGACAUCACCCAGAUGACAUUUUGCCUCCAAAGCUCUGGGGACCAAUUGUGGAAGAACUGCAGGGAUAUUAUGUUAGAAUGUUCUUGUGUCUGGAUAGGAUGAGAACUGUCUUAUAACAAAGUGCAGCCCCCAUGUCUGAGGGCAUGUUUCCUGUGUUUAGGCACUUCCGAAGCAGGGAGCACCUUCAAGGGGCACUGGCCUUCCCAGAAACAGUGUUUGACCUGUGAUGAUGUCCUGGGGGAGGGGACCUAGGAAAAGACCUUAGCCUUUCCAUAAGGCACGAUUAUUCUCCUCUAUAGAGCCUCAAAAGUCAAGUCAAGUAGCAAGCACACUGUGCUCCAGUCUGUGGCCACAGACACACACAAGGACUGGAGCAAAACC